AGAAAAGGUAUAAAUACCGCUUUAAAAUGAGUCUAUGCAAGAUUAGGUAGUUGGUUAGGUAAAUGCUGACCAAGCCGAAGAUCUUUAGUUGGUCUGAGAGGACGAUCAGCCACACUGGAACUGAGAUAAGGUCCAGGCUUUAAGCCAGCAGUGUGGAAUCUUGGACAAUGGGCGAAAGCUUGAUCCAGUAAUAUUGCGUGAAUGAGGAAAGCAUAAAAGAUUUCUAUCCUUCUCUUUUGAUCGAUAGGAAUUGGCUGUAAAGUUAUUUCACUAAUGAAGAUUAUGACAUUAAUUAGAGAAGAAGCUCCGGCUAAUUUCGUGCCAGCAGCCGCGGUAAUACGAAGGGUGCAAGCGUUAAUCGGAAUUACUGGGCGUAAAGCGCACGUAGGCGGCUUUGUAAGUCAGAGGUGAAAGCCUGGAGCUCAAC
rnacentral:rRNA from 1 species